AUUGAACGCUGGCGGCACGCUUAACACAUGCAAGUCGAACGGCAGCAUGGUGUGUACUUGCAUACACUGAUGGCGAGUGGCGAACGGGUGAGUAAUGCGCAGGAAUAUGCCUUAAAGAGGGGGAUAACAUGGGGAAACUCAUGCUAAUACCGCAUGUUCUCUGAGGAGCGAAGCGGGGGACCUGUGCGGGCCUGGCGCUUUAAGAAUAGCAUGCGUCCGAUUAGCUAGUUGGUAGGGUAAAGGCCUACCAAGGCGAUGAUCGGUAGCUGGUCUGAGAGGAUGGACAGCCACACUGGGACUGAGACACGGCCCAGACUCCUACGGGAGGCAGCAGUGGGGAAUAUUGGACAAUGGGGGCAACCCUGAUCCAGCGAUGCCGCGUGUGUGAAGAAGGCCUGAGGGUUGUAAAGCACUUUUAGUGAGGAGGAGGGGUAACAGGUUAAGAGCUAGUUAUUUGGACGUUACUCACAGAAAAAGCACCGGCUAACUCCGUGCCAGCCGCCGCCGUAAAAC
rnacentral:rRNA from 1 species